UACGUAGGGUGCGAGCGUUAAUCGGAAUUACUGGGCGUAAAGCGUGCGCAGGCGGUUUUGUAAGCCAGAUGUGAAAGCCCCGGGCUUAACCUGGGAAUGGCAUUUGGGACUGCAAGGCUUGAGUGCGGCAGAGGAGACUGGAAUUCCCGGUGUAGCAGUGAAAUGCGUAGAUAUCGGGAGGAACACCUGUGGCGAAGGCGGCCCCCUGGUUGGAUACUGACGCUGAUACGCGAAAGCGUGGGGAGCAAACAGG
rnacentral:rRNA from 1 species